rnacentral:tRNA from 1 species
ACGAUUUUGGGCGAAUGCCGGUGGAACUACACGCCUGUCACGCGGGAGGUCGCGGGUUCGAUUCCCGCCGGUCCUU